GAUGAACGCUGACAGAAUGCUUAACACAUGCAAGUCAACUUGAACUUCGGUUUGGGUGGCGGACGGGUGAGUAACGCGUAAAGAACUUGCCUCACAGAUAGGGACAACAUUUGGAAACGAAUGCUAAUACCUGAGAUUAUGAUUAUAUGGCAUCGUAUAAUUAUGAAAGAUAUAUGCGCUGUGAGAGAGCUUUGCGUCCCAUUAGCUAGUUGGCGAGGUAACGGCUCACCAAGGCGAUGAUGGGUAGCCGGCCUGAGAGGGUGAUCGGCCACAAGGGGACUGAGACACGGCCCUUACGCCUACGGGAAGCAGCAGUGGAGAAUAUUGGACAAUGGACCAAGAGUCUGAUCCAGCAAUUCUGUGUGCACAAUGAAGUUUUUCGGAAUGUAAAGUGCUUUCAGUUGGGAAGAAAAAAAUGACGGUACCAACAGAAGAAGUGACGGCUAAAUACGUG
rnacentral:rRNA from 1 species